GACGAACGCUGGCGGCGUGCUUAACACAUGCAAGUCGAACGGAAAGGGCCUGCUUUUGUGGGGUGCUCGAGUGGCGAACGGGUGAGUAACAUGGGAGUAACCUGCCCUUGACUUUGGGAUAACUUCAGGAAACUGGUGCUAAUACCGGAUAGGAGCUCCUGCUGCAUGGUGGGGGUCGGAAAGCUUCGGCGGUUGGGGAUGGACUGGCGGCUUACCAGCUUGUUGGUCGGGUAGUGGCCUACCAAGGCUUUGGUGGGUAGCCGGCAUGAGAGGGUGACCGGGCACAUGGGGACUACGGUACGCACCAGACUGCAACGGGAGGCAACAGGGGGGAAUAUGACACAAUGGGCGGAAGCCUGUGGCAGCGACGCCGCGUGCGGGAUGACGGCCUUCGGGUUGUAAACCGCUUUCGCCUGUGACGAAGCGUGAGUGACGGUAAUGGGUAAAGAAGCACCGGCUAACUACGUG
rnacentral:rRNA from 1 species